CGCCUUUUGGUUGAAUAGAAGGUCUAGCCUGCCCACUGAGAAGUUAAAGGGCCGCGGUAUAUUGACCGUGCAAAGGUAGCAUAAUCAUUAGUCUUCUAAUUAAAGGCUGGAAUGAAUGGUUGGACGAGGUAUUAGCUGUUUCAUUAAGAAUAGUACGGAAUUUAACUUUUUAGUCAAAAGGCUAAAAUAAUAUUGGAGGACGAGAAGACCCUAUAGAGCUUUAUAUCUAAAGUGUUUAGUCUUUUUAGAAGGACUUUGACUUAAUUGUAGAGAUAUUUCGUUGGGGUGACGGGGAGAUAAAAUAAACUCUCUUUAUUAAAUGACAUAAAUGUAUGAUUAUUUGAUCCAAUAAUAUUGAUUAUAAGACUAAGUUACCUUAGGGAUAACAGCGUAAUCUUUUUCGAGAGUUCUUAUCGACAAAAAGGGUUGCGACCUCGAUGUUGGAUUAAGGGUAAUUUUUGGGUGUAGAAGUUCAAAGUUUAGGUCUGUUCGACCUUUGAAUCCUUACAUGAU
rnacentral:rRNA from 1 species